rnacentral:SRP_RNA from 1 species
GCCGGGCGUGGUGGCUCACGCCUGUAAUCCUGACACUUUGGGAGGCUGAGGCGGGUGGAUAGCCUGAGGUCAGGAGUCUGAGACCUUUAGCCUCAAAGCUGAAACCUUUGGUUUCAGCCUGACCAAUAUGGUGAAAUCCCGUCUCUA